UGAUAGUGAAGUUGGCGUUUCGAAUGCAC
rnacentral:sRNA from 1 species